CUCCUCCAUCAUUCCCGACCUGCUCCGAGAAUUUUGGAGACAUCACCUUGGUCUCCUCCAAUGAAUCAACAAAACCACAGCUCCUUUGUCUCCUUUGACAAAACGUCUAAGGUGAACUCGACCACCGUCGUACGUUCUCCAAUGACUACCUUUGGAAAUCUCUUCCUCUGCAAAUCCCAGGUGAUCGGCUCUGUUUACUUCUCCGACGAGCCUCACUACUUAUCCGUUUAACUCCGCAACUUCUCUGUCGAGAUACAGUUGAAUUUCCACUCUCAACGACCACAUAAGCUGCUCAGACAUGAACACCUUCUGG